rnacentral:rRNA from 1 species
UACGUAGGGUGCAGGCGUUGUUCGGAAUCACUGGGCGUAAAGGGAGCGUAGGCGGCGUGGUAAGUCAGAUGUGAAAUCCCGGGGCUCAACCCCGGAACUGCAUCCGAUACUGCCAUGCUAGAGGAUUGGAGAGGUAGCUGGAAUUCUUGGUGUAGCAGUGAAAUGCGUAGAGAUCAAGAGGAACACUCGUGGCGAAAGCGAGCUACUGGACAAUUCCUGACGCUGAGGCUCGAAGGCUAGGGUAGCGAAAGGG